AAAUGGCGAAGUUGCCAGGAAGUGAGCCCUUCAAGUCAGUGGGCACCUCCUAAGGAUUUCUCGGACUUGUGUGUGUGUUCUAGCUUCCUUCCUGUGGCUCUGAUACAAACUCUGGCCCAAAGCAACUCGAGGAGAAAAGGUACUUUUUUUUUUUUUUUAAUUUUUUUUUCCCCUUAACAUACCUAGAUCACAGUCCGUCAUAGAGGGAAGUGAAGGCAGGAACCAGGAGUCAUGACCUGAAGCAGAGGCCACAAAGGAAUGUAGCUUCCUGCCUUCCUCUCCUGGACUUACUCAACUUGCCAGGGUUUCAUUUACUUAUAUAGUCAAGGGGUGGCACUGCUCACAGUGUUUGGGACUCUCCCAUAUUGAUCAUAAAUAAAGUGCCCCACGGACUUGCUAACAGGCCACUCAGAGGGAGGCAAAUCCUACCUUUUGGUUCCUUCUGCCCAGAUUACAUGACUUGUGUCAAGUUGACAUACAACUAGUCAAUACAGCAACAUGAUUAUUCUCACUUCUCUUCGACCUCACAUGAAACCAUCCUGCUUUCUACACAAACACUCUCAUUUCUGUUCCCAUUUUGUAUAUGUAAAUAUAUACUCAUAGGAAUGUUUACACAGACUAUACAUUAGGACUUUUGUUGGAAACAGAGGUCCUGGGAAGCCUAGAGACACACCGGGGCCUUGCCUCAAACAGAGAUUUUCUGUUCACAGCAACAGAAUCUAAGUGUGGACUCAAAGCUUGAGGUGCUGUUUCAUCUACUGCAUGGCUAUCAACCUGUGCAUCGUUACCCCUUUUGGGGGGAUAGGUUGAACAACCCUUUCAUGGGAGCCACCCAAGACCAUCAUGAAACACAGAUAUUCACAUUAUCAUCCAUAACGGUAGCAAACUUACAGUUAUGAAGUAGCCAUGAAAUACUUUUAUGAUUGGAGCUCACCACAACAAGGUGUGCAAGGGUUGCAGCAUUAGGAAGGUUGAGACCCACUGGCCUUAUACAUUGCUUAGCUGUUGUCCCAGAUUCUUCGAAAACUGUUUUACAUAAGAGACUCAGCUGUCUUCAGUUACGUACCAACAUGCCAGCCACAUCUCUUACAUCUAGGGAGUCUCUGUGCUACCUCUUUUCUUAUCACUAAGCUGGAAAUGAUGCAAGGGAGGCGGGAGGUAGAGUUUCAUAGUAGACUUCUUGCCUUGUGUCCAUAUGGUACUGGGUUCAAUUCUCACUAUAGGAAAACACUUAGGCUCAUAGUUUUGGGGCUCUUUUCUACCCAAGUGGAGGAAGCAUGGCUAUGGGACCAUCGCCACCCAUGUUGACAGGCAUAGGAAGCUGGUAAGUAACAUGGGGGUGGGGGGCAGGAAGCAGAGUUCAAGCUGGAAUCAAGGGUCAACCAUAACCAGCCCACAAGACCCUCCAGUUCCCAUUCAAAGUCCCAACUCCUCAAAGUUCCACAACAAAGUUCAAAGUGUUGAGGGAGAGGGAGCACCAAGGACUAAGUGUUCAAACACAUGUACUUACUUAAAGGGGGAAUUUCAUACUCUAACUGUAAGAUCAUCUAGCCUGGUCCAUUUCACUAAAAUUGGUUGAAAAAAAUCUGAUCCUCAUUCCCUGUAUCCUUCGUGGUUGUACCAGGCUCUCCUCGCUGUCUGUUCCUUGAGCCUUAUUCACUUCUAAGAGUCUUUCCUUUCUUUGCAGCCUCUACUUAGCUGAGCCAACUCUUCGGAAGCCUCUCUUGGGCAACCCCUCACUGGUGCCCUUCCUUCCUUGAUGCACACUUGCAAAGCUGUCAUCCAAAUUCCGUUCCUCUACAAAUGAUGCCUUUCUGGUCUCCAGGUAGCUCUGCAUAGGGCAUAUUAGCGUCAAUGAUUCACAACCGUGCUUAGUUAUGUGCACUGUUGCAGCGAGGGGAUUGGUAAAAGACUGCCCUGCAGCUAUUUACAGGUCAGUUCCCCCCAGGAAUUAGGCUUAUUCUGUUGGACAGAAUGAGUGAGAAGAAGCCACUCUGCUUUCAAUAAAGCCAGAGUGCUAACAGCUGAAGCUGAGUCAAGAUGUAAGGAGCAAACUGUGGGUCAACUUAGUUCUUUUUCAGGUCAGUUAUAAAUAUUUGUAGAAUGUCUCCUACGUGCCGGGCCCUGUGUUUCCUGCCUGCUUGGGCUAACUUCGCUGACUUGACUUUAGACCUCAUAAAAAGCUUGGAAAGCAGAAGAUAAAAAAACCUAAAUUCCUGGACCUGAUCUCCAGAUUGUCUGCACUAGGCAACAGAUUCACCCGUUUUAGCCCUUUUCCAGCUGUGGGGGUGAGAAGGGGCACUUUCAAGUCUUGGCAUAUACAAUUAAAUCCAACUGUGCUGUGGUUUGGC
rnacentral:lncRNA from 1 species